rnacentral:rRNA from 1 species
AAUCAGUGUGUGUGUUAGUGGAAGCGUCUGGAAAGGCGUGCGAUACAGGGUGACAGCCCCGUACACAAAAAUGCACAUACUGUGAGCUCGAUGAGUAGGGCGGGACACGUGGUAUCCUGUCUGAAUAUGGGGGGACCAUCCUCCAAGGCUAAAUACUCCUGACUGACCGAUAGUGAACCAGUACCGUGAGGGAAAGGCGAAAAGAACCCCGGCGAGGGGAGUGAAAAAGAACCUGAAACCGUGUACGUACAAGCAGUGGGAGCCUCUUUAUGGGGUGACUGCGUACCUUUUGUAUAAUGGGUCAGCGACUUAUAUUCUGUAGCAAGGUUAACCGAAUAGGGGAGCCGAAGGGAAACCGAGUCUUAACUGGGCGUUAAGUUGCAGGGUAUAGACCCGAAACCCGGUGAUCUAGCCAUGGGCAGGUUGAAGGUUGGGUAACACUAACUGGAGGACCGAACCGACUAAUGUUGAAAAAUUAGCGGAUGACUUGUGGCUGGGGGUGAAAGGCCAAUCAAACCGGGAGAUAGCUGGUUCUCCCCGAAAGCU